rnacentral:rRNA from 1 species
GUAGGGAAUCUUCCACAAUGGACGAAAGUCUGAUGGAGCAACGCCGCGUGAGCGAUGAAGGCCUUCGGGUCGUAAAGCUCUGUUGUUAGGGAAGAACAAGUAUCGGAGUAACUGCCGGUACCUUGACGGUACCUAACCAGAAAGCCACGGCUAACUACGUGCCAGCAGCCGCGGUAAUACGUAGGUGGCAAGCGUUGUCCGGAAUUAUUGGGCGUAAAGCGCGCGCAGGCGGUCCUUUAAGUCUGAUGUGAAAGCCCACGGCUCAACCGUGGAGGGUCAUUGGAAACUGGGGGACUUGAGUGCAGAAGAGGAAAGCGGAAUUCCACGUGUAGCGGUGAAAUGCGUAGAGAUGUGGAGGAACACCAGUGGCGAAGGCGGCUUUCUGGUCUGUAACUGACGCUGAGGCGCGAAAGCGUGGGGAGCAAACAGG